AAGCCGUGGUGUGGGAAUUGGUUGGUAUAGCUCCUGAACCGUUCCCAAGCUUCACUAAAGCUCUCAUUGUUAUGUUGUGCGAAUCUAGAGAUCUGAUUCCUCAGCUU
rnacentral:snoRNA from 1 species